UGGGGAAUUUUGCGCAAUGGGCGAAAGCCUGACGCAGCAACGCCGCGUGGAGGAUGAAGGUCUUCGGAUUGUAAACUCCUGUCAGUGGGGAAAAAGGGGAACGUGCUCAUACCACGUUUCAUUGAUUGUACCCGCAGAGGAAGCCCCGGCUAACUCUGUGCCAGCAGCCGCGGUAAUACAGAGGGGGCAAGCGUUAUUCGGAAUUAUUGGGCGUAAAGGGCGCGUAGGCGGUCGUUCAAGUGGUAGGUGAAAUCCCUCGGCUCAACCGAGGAGCUGCCCGCCAAACUGAAUGACUUGAGUCCGGGAGAGGUAAGUGGAAUUCCCAGUGUAGCGGUGAAAUGCGUAGAUAUUGGGAGGAACACCAGUGGCGAAGGCGGCUUACUGGACCGGCACUGACGCUGAGGCGCGAAAGCGUGGGGAGCAAACGGGAUUAGAUACCCCGGUAGUCCACGCUGUAAACGAUGAGUGCUUGGUGUAGCGGGUAUCGACCCUGCUGUGCCGAAG
rnacentral:rRNA from 1 species